GAUGAACGCUGGCGGCGUGCCUAAUACAUGCAAGUCGAGCGAACAGACGAGGAGCUUGCUCCUCUGACGUUAGCGGCGGACGGGUGAGUAACACGUGGAUAACCUACCUAUAAGACUGGGAUAACUUCGGGAAACCGGAGCUAAUACCGGAUAAUAUAUUGAACCGCAUGGUUCAAUAGUGAAAGACGGUUUUGCUGUCACUUAUAGAUGGAUCCGCGCCGCAUUAGCUAGUUGGUAAGGUAACGGCUUACCAAGGCAACGAUGCGUAGCCGACCGGAGAGGGUGAUCGGCCACACUGGAACUGAGACACGGUCCAUACUCCUACGGGAGGCAGCAGUAGGGAAUCUUCCGCAAUGGGCGAAAGCCUGACGGAGCAACGCCGCGUGAGUGAUGAAGGUCUUCGGAUCGUAAAACUCUGUUAUUAGGGAAGAACAAAUGUGUAAGUAACUAUGCACGUCUUGACGGUACCUAAUCAGAAAGCCACGGCUAACUACGUG
rnacentral:rRNA from 1 species